CGGGAUAAGCCUGGGAAACUGGGUCUAAUACCGGAUAGGACCAUGCUUUAGUGUGUGUGGUGGAAAGUUUUUCGGUGCAAGAUGAGCCCGCGGCCUAUCAGCUUGUUGGUGGGGUAAUGGCCUACCAAGGCGACGACGGGUAGCCGGCCUGAGAGGGUGUACGGCCACAUUGGGACUGAGACACGGCCCAG
rnacentral:rRNA from 1 species